UAACACAUUCUACAGUAGGAUCAUUUCUAUAGGAAUCGUCACUCUUUGACUCUUCAAAAGAGCCACUGAAUCCAACUUGGUUGAUGAGUGACAAAACCUUUGUACCCAAGAGUGAGAAAUAAAACUUCAACUAAACUAGCUUGGUCCGCAAUCCUUAGCGGUUCGGCCAUCUAAUUUUCUUUAUGAAAUUUUGCUUUGCUAUUUGCAUUAAGCUGUUCUUUAAGACGAUCUAACUUGUUAGUGAAUCUGCAAGACGGCUUUAUCUAUUAAAUGGCGCGAUGAUCUUGACCCUUUCUAUGUACGUCUUCGGAUGGGAUAGAUUCUUUGGGUGGGUACAAAUGGCAGUCUGACAAGU
rfam:Naumovozyma castellii CBS 4309 complete genome, chromosome 3